UGAGAGGUUGCCAUAUUGGCCCCUGAAUGAGGAAGGAUGUCAUGGCUACCAAGCAACAAGUUAAAAGAGCCAUGGAGCCGCUCGUGCUGAACACAGGAAGAGACGAGCUAACGCCGCAGCUCAGCGGCGUUAGCUCGUGGUAGCAGCUACAUGUGGAGAUGACUCCUCUUACCUUAAGCAAAGGACGCAGCUUUUGGACGCAUAAUAAUCCCGCUAAUGGUCGAAGUUUGAGCGUCGGGAGCGCGCGCCUGGUAAAAGUCCUCGAGUGGCUCUCGGAGUGGAGAAGUGACAACUCUGUGGGAGGAGUCGGCGGCUAUUCCGAGCUGUUCCUUCUCUGCGCCACUUCUACUUCUACCACUUCUACUCCUCUACAGCGGCCGAACAAAGCCCAAACAACCGCGAUCACACUUUGAUUCAUGCAUGCUCACGUUCAUGUAAGUUUACAGCAGUAUGAGUUGUGAUUGGGACUUUUCCUCAUAAGGACACGGAGUCGCCGUCACACUUCUACCGCAGGAUGAAGCUAGCACUCAUAAUAUCAACUUCCUGUUUCUGUUUUCGAUUUUAAAAGAGAACAUCACAAGAUUCCAUUUCACUUUGAGUUUUCUUACUUUUUACAAGAGCUCAUGUAGAUUUUUGGGGACCAGUACUAAAACCAAAAUUACAGAGUUAAACAUUCCCAAUAUCAACAUACCAGUCCAUAAAUAUAUAUAUAUUUCUUUAAAAUAAGCCUGAUUCCUAAGAUUAAACCAAAACAGAGAAGAGCCUGCACACUUUUGCCACUCUAUGCCACAGAGUUUGUCAACGUUUCCAUCCAGAGUGGGAUCUUUGUCUGGUCCUUUUGUGGUUAUUAAAGAGAAUCACCCAUAGUAAUACAGUGCACCAAAAGGCUGGUGGGCUCUGUGGUGGUGGGUGUAUAUAUCAAUAUCAACCACAACAGGUAAAUCACAGCUACCAGCACUCACAAAUGCAAUAAUUCUAUUGGCCGAUACAAGUUUGAGAAAACUAGGAUAACAUAUUAUGAAAAAGGACCUUAAAAUGUACAAUGGAUUGAUGGUAGUCUUCCUUUUUUGAUAUACAGAUAUAUUUUUUGAUCCCUUGUUUUAGUUGUUGCUGAGAUUUUGCCCAUGUUUAAUUAAAAUAUAAACAUGAAUGCACAUCUUUAAUUCAUUCUUUACUUUGUAUAAUCAAACUUUUCAUAUCGGCAAAUAUCAGCAAACAUAAUUGCAGAAAUCCUCACAUCAUCUGAUAUUCUCCAACAGAUAUAUCGGUCAGGCUCUACUUUAUAAAAUACUUUAAAUUGCUUCAAAUCACCAUUAACAACAUUGGGCUUUUCUCUGCAUCAUCAGCAUCACUUUGUAACACAGCUCUUUGUUUUCAUGCUGGAAAUGACAAGACUUCAUGUCACACACGUGUUGUGUUGACCUCUAUUUACCUUUCGAUAUGUUUCCACUUACAUUGUCCUGAACCCACCAUUGCCAUAACUUAACCACUGUGUUUGUGUGUGUGUAUACAUACUUUUCUUACUUAAAACAGCUUGAAGUAAGAAAAGUAUGUAUAUGUUUUCUGCAGAUGUAAUAGACACCUAGCAGACAGAGCAGAGAAGACCAGCUGCAACAGAUUCUUUGUCAUUUUAACUUUAAUGUGCUUUUAUUGUGAAGGUAAAACUGUAAUACACACAAUCUCUUUAUGCCACCUGCCAGUGAUAAAGAAGUUGCCAUGUUCCCAUAAAGGAAGACAGAUGUGGAAAUAGUGUUAAUGCACAAAAUGAAAACAAAACAACUAUAAAAACUAAAUACAUGAAUUGAA